rnacentral:rRNA from 1 species
UGGGGAAUUUUGGACAAUGGGGGCAACCCUGAUCCAGCAAUGCCGCGUGUGUGAAGAAGGCCUUCGGGUUGUAAAGCACUUUUGUCCGGGAAGAAAUCCCCUGCCCUAAUACGGCGGGGGGAUGACGGUACCGGAAGAAUAAGCACCGGCUAACUACGUGCCAGCAGCCGCGGUAAUACGUAGGGUGCGAGCGUUAAUCGGAAUUACUGGGCGUAAAGCGUGCGCAGGCGGUGAUGUAAGACCGAUGUGAAAUCCCCGGGCUCAACCUGGGAACUGCAUUGGUGACUGCAUUGCUCGAGUAUGGCAGGGGGGGGUGGAAUUCCACGUGUAGCAGUGAAAGGCGUAGAGAUGUGGAGGAACACCGAUGGCGAAGGCAGCCCCCUGGGCCAAUACUGACGCUCAUGCACGAAAGCGUGGGGAGCAAACAGG